GACGAACGCUGGCGGCGUGCUUAACACAUGCAAGUCGAACGGAAAGGCCCUGCUUUUGUGGGGUGCUCGAGUGGCGAACGGGUGAGUAACACGUGAGUAACCUGCCCUUGACUUUGGGAUAACUUCAGGAAACUGGGGCUAAUACCGGAUAGGAGCUCCUGCUGCAUGGUGGGGGUUGGAAAGUUUCGGCGGUUGGGGAUGGACUCGCGGCUUAUCAGCUUGUUGGUGGGGUAGUGGCUUACCAAGGCUUUGACGGGUAGCCGGCCUGAGAGGGUGACCGGCCACAUUGGGACUGGGAUACGGCCCAGACUCCUACGGGAGGCAGCAGUGGGGAAUAUUGCACAAUGGGCGGAAGCCGGAUGCAGCAACGCCGCGUGCGGGAUGACGGCCUUCGGGUUGUAAACCGCUUUCGCCUGUGACGAAGCGUGAGUGACGGUAAUGGGUAAAGAAGCACCGGCGAACUACGG
rnacentral:rRNA from 1 species